AACGUAGGACGCAAGCGUUAUCCGGAGUUACUGGGCGUAAAGCGCGGGCAGGCGGUCUUGCCAGUCUGAUGUGAAAUCUCCUCGCUCAACGGGGAGCAGCCAUUGGAAACUACAAGACUGGAGUCUGGCAGAGGUAGGCGGAAUUCCGGGUGGAGUGGUGAAAUGCGUAGAGAUCCGGAGGAGCACCAGAGGCGAAGGCGGCCUACUGGGCCAGUACUGACGCUGAGCCGCGAAAGCCAGGGGAGCGAACGGG
rnacentral:rRNA from 1 species